UGGGGAAUAUUGGACAAUGGGCGAAAGCCUGAUCCAGCCACGCCGCGUGUGUGAUGAAGGUCUUCGGAUCGUAAAGCACUGUGGAGAGGGAAGAACAGGUAGCGGGAACAAUACCCCGUUGCACUGACGGUAUCUCUUUAGCAAGCACCGGCUAACUCCGUGCCAGCAGCCGCGGUAAUACGGAGGGUGCAAACGUUGCUCGGAAUCAUUGGGCGUAAAGCGCGUGUAGGCGGCAUGUUAAGUCGAGUGUGAAAGCCCUGGGCUCAACCCAGGAAGUGCGCUCGAAACUGGCAAGCUAGAGUACGGGAGAGGGCAGUGGAAUUCCCGGUGUAGAGGUGAAAUUCGUAGAUAUCGGGAGGAACACCAGUGGCGAAGGCGGCUGCCUGGACCGAUACUGACGCUGAGACGCGAAAGCGUGGGUAGCAAACAG
rnacentral:rRNA from 1 species